UACGGGGGGGGCAAGCGUUGUUCGGAAUUACUGGGCGUAAAGGGGACGUAGGCGGCCAACUAAGUCCGACGUGAAAUCCCAAGGCUUAACCUUGGAACUGCGUCGGAUACUGGAUGGCUUGAAUUCGGGAGAGGGAUGCAGAAUUCCAGGUGUAGCGGUGAAAUGCGUAGAUAUCAGGAGGAACACCGAUGGCGAAGGCAGUUCUCUGGGCCGUAACUGACGCUGAGGAGCGAAAGCGUGGGGAGCGAACAGG
rnacentral:rRNA from 1 species